CCUACGGGAGGCAGCAGUGGGGAAUAUUGCACAAUGGGCGAAAGCCUGAUGCAGCAACGCCGCGUGAGCGAUGAAGGCCUUCGGGUCGUAAAGCUCUGUCCUCUAGGAAGAUAAUGACGGUACUUGAGGUGGAAGCACCGGCUAACUACGUGCCAGCAGCCGCGGUAAUUCGUAGGGGGCUAGCGUUUUCCGGAAUUACUGGGCGUAAAGGGGGCGUAGGUGGUUUCUUAAGUCAGAGGUGAAGGGCUACGGCUCAACCGUAAUAAGCCGUUGAAACUGGGGAACUUGAGUGCAGGAGAGGUGAGUGGAAUUCCUGGUGUAGCGGUGAAAUGCGUAGAUAUUAGGAGGAACACCAGUUGCGAAGGCGGCUCUCUGGACUGUAACUGACACUGAGGCACGAAAGCGUGGGGAGCAAACAGGAUUAGAUACCCCUGUAGUC
rnacentral:rRNA from 1 species